GACGAACGCCGGCGGCGUGCUUAACACAUGCAAGUCGAGCGAUGAAGCACCUUCGGGUGUGGAUUAGCGGCGAACGGGUGAGGAACACGUGAGGAAUCUGCCUUUCACUUCGGGAUAACUCCGGGAAACCGGGGCUAAUACCGGAUAUUUUCAACUGGCGGCAUCGCCGGUUGAAGAAAGUUUUUCGGUGAAAGAUGACCUCGCGACCUAUCAGCUUGUUGGUGAGGUAAUGGCUCACCAAGGCGACGACGGGUAGCCGGCCUGAGAGGGCGACCGGCCACACUGGGACUGAGACACGGCCCAGACUCCUACGGGAGGCAGCAGUGGGGAAUAUUGGGCAAUGGAGGAAACUCUGACCCAGCGACGCCGCGUGAGGGAUGAAGGCCUUCGGAUUGUAAACCUCUCUCAGCAGGGAAUAAGCGAAAGUGAAGGUACCUGCAGAAGAAGCACCGGCUAACUAUGUGCCAGCCGCCGCAGUAA
rnacentral:rRNA from 1 species